rnacentral:ncRNA from 1 species
AAAACGGUUCUUUUGAGAACCAUGAACUAUAUUAAAUAAUAUAUA